AAUGAACGCUGGCGGCGCGCCUAAUACAUGCAAGUCGAGCGAGAAGACGUAGCAAUACGUUUGUAAAGCGGCGAACGGGUGAGGAAUACAUGGGUAACCUACCCUCGAGUGGGGAAUAACUAGCCGAAAGGUUAGCUAAUACCGCGUACGCUUCUUGGACUUCGGUUCAGGGAGGAAAGCGAUGCCGAGGGUAUCGCGCUCUUGGAUGGGCUCAUGUCCUAUCAGCUUGUUGGGAGGUAACGGCUCACCAAGGCUUCGACGGGUAGCUGGUCUGAGAGGACGAUCAGCCACACUGGCACUGCGACACGGGCCAGACUCCUACGGGAGGCAGCAGUAAGGAAUAUUGCGCAAUGGGCGAAAGCCUGACGCAGCGACGCCGCGGUGGGGGAU
rnacentral:rRNA from 1 species